rnacentral:rRNA from 1 species
GUUGAACGCUGGCGGCGCGCCUAACACAUGCAAGUCGAACGAGAGAGAGGAAGCUUGCUUCCUUGAUCGAGUGGCGAACGGGUGAGUAACGCGUGAGGAACCUGCCUCAAAGAGGGGGACAACAGUUGGAAACGACUGCUAAUACCGCAUAAGCCCACGACCCGGCAUCGGGAAGAGGGAAAAGGAGCAAUCCGCUUUGAGAUGGCCUCGCGUCCGAUUAGCUAGUUGGUGAGGUAACGGCCCACCAAGGCGACGAUCGGUAGCCGGACUGAGAGGUUGAACGGCCACAUUGGGACUGAGACACGGCCCAGACUCCUACGGGAGGCAGCAGUGGGGAAUAUUGCACAAUGGGGGAAACCCUGAUGCAGCGACGCCGCGUGGAGGAAGAAGGUCUUCGGAUUGUAAACUCCUGUUGUUGAGGAAGAUAAUGACGGUACUCAACAAGGAAGUGACGGCUAACUACGUGCCAGCAGCCGCGGUAAAACGUAGGUCACAAGCGUUGUCCGGAAUUACUGGGUGUAAAGGGAGCGCAGGCGGGCGAUCAAGUUGGAAGUGAAAUCCAUGGGCUCAACCCAUGAACUGCUUUCAAAACUGGUCGUCUUGAGUAGUGCAGAGGUAGGCGGAAUUCCCGGUGUAGCGGUGGAAUGCGUAGAUAUCGGGAGGAACACCAGUGGCGAAGGCGGCCUACUGGGCACCAACUGACGCUGAGGCUCGAAAGUGUGGGUAGCAAACAGGAUUAGAUACCCUGGUAGUCCACACCGUAAACGAUGAUUACUAGGUGUUGGGAGAUUGACCCUCUCAGUGCCGCAGUUACACCAUAAGUAAUCCACCUGGGGAGUACGACCGCAAGGUUGAAACUCAAAGGAAUUGACGGGGGCCCGCACAAGCAGUGGAGUAUGUGGUUUAAUUCGACGCAACGCGAAGAACCUUACCAAGUCUUGACAUCCCUUGACGAUGCUGGAAACAGUAUUUCUCUUCGGAGCAAGGAGACAGGUGGUGCAUGGUUGUCGUCAGCUCGUGUCGUGAGAUGUUGGGUUAAGUCCCGCAACGAGCGCAACCCUUAUGGUCAGUUACUACGCAAGAGGACUCUGGCCAGACUGCCGUUGACAAAACGGAGGAAGGUGGGGAUGACGUCAAAUCAUCAUGCCCUUUAUGACUUGGGCUACACACGUACUACAAUGGCGUUAAACAAAGAGAAGCAAGACCGCGAGGUGGAGCAAAACUCAGAAACAAGUCCCAGUUCGGACUGCAGGCUGCAACUCGCCUGCACGAAGUCGGAAUUGCUAGUAAUCGUGGAUCAGCAUGCCACGGUGAAUACGUUCCCGGGCCUUGUACACACCGCCCG